GAUGAACGCUGGCGGCGUGCCUAAUACAUGCAAGUCGAGCGAACAGACGAGGAGCUUGCUCCUUUGACGUUAGCGGCGGACGGGUGAGUAACACGUGGGUAACCUACCUAUAAGACUGGGAUAACUUCGGGAAACCGGAGCUAAUACCGGAUAAUAUUUCGAACCGCAUGGUUCGAUAGUGAAAGAUGGCUUUGCUAUCACUUAUAGAUGGACCUGCGCCGUAUUAGCUAGUUGGUAAGGUAACGGCUUACCAAGGCAACGAUACGUAGCCGACCUGAGAGGGUGAUCGGCCACACUGGAACUGAGACACGGUCCAGACUCCUACGGGAGGCAGCAGUAGGGAAUCUUCCGCAAUGGGCGAAAGCCUGACGGAGCAACGCCGCGUGAGUGAUGAAGGUCUUCGGAUCGUAAAACUCUGUUAUUAGGGAAGAACAAACGUGUAAGUAACUGUGCACGCCUUGACGGUACCUAAUCAGAAAGCCACGGCUAACUACGUG
rnacentral:rRNA from 1 species